rnacentral:rRNA from 1 species
CCUACGGGGGGCUGCAGUGGGGAAUAUUGGACAAUGGGCGAAAGCCUGAUCCAGCCAUGCCGCGUGUGUGAAGAAGGCCUUCGGGUUGUAAAGCACUUUCAGUGGGGAAGAAAGCCUUGGGGCUAAUACCCUCGAGGAAGGACAUCACCCACAGAAGAAGCACCGGCUAACUCCGUGCCAGCAGCCGCGGUAAUACGGAGGGUGCGAGCGUUAAUCGGAAUUACUGGGCGUAAAGCGCGCGUAGGCGGUCUGAUAAGCCGGUUGUGAAAGCCCCGGGCUCAACCUGGGAACGGCAUCCGGAACUGUCAGGCUAGAGUGCAGGAGAGGAAGGUAGAAUUCCCGGUGUAGCGGUGAAAUGCGUAGAGAUCGGGAGGAAUACCAGCGGCGAAGGCGGCCUUCUGGACUGACACUGACGCUGAGGUGCGAAAGCGUGGGUAGCAAACAGGAUUAGAUACCCUAGUAGUC